rnacentral:rRNA from 1 species
GAUCCUGGCUCAGAACGAACGCUGGCGGCAGGCUUAACACAUGCAAGUUGAACGGGAGUUUGUGUGGUGCUUGCACCAUAUAAUGAGAGUAGCGCACUGGUGAGUAACACGUGGGAACGUGCCUUUUAGUGGGGGGAUAACAUCUGGAAACGGAUGCUAAUACCGCAUACGCCCUGAGGGGGAAAGAUUUAUUGCUAAGAGGUCGGCCCGCGGUUAGAUUAGGCAGUUGGUGGGGUAAAGGCCUACCAAACCUACG